ACUAUAUUGGCAGAACUUAUGCAUUAGAUUUAGGAUCUAAUUAUGUAGUUAUUAUACUACAUAUAGUA
rnacentral:tRNA from 1 species